UAGCCAUGGUGAAAGCAUUGAUUCAACAGAUCCUCGAAUCUUUCCCAAACUUGAUAGAACGUUUCAUUGUCCUUUUGGGAAAAUGUGGAAAUUUUUCGUUUUAGACU